rnacentral:tRNA from 1 species
GGCCUGGUCGCCAAGUGGUAAGGCAAGGGUCUGCAAAACCCUUAUCAGGGGUUCGAUUCCCCUCCAGGCCU